rnacentral:sRNA from 1 species
GCUGGGCACAGUGGCUCAUGCCUGUGAUCCCAGUGACUUAGGAGGCUGAGGCAGGAGGAUCGUGAGUUCAGAGCCAGCCUCAGCAAUUUAGUGAGGUCCUAAGCAACUCAGUGAGACCCUGUCUCUA